GCCGAAAGUAUGCAGCCUACAUGGGUUGAGCACGGGAGCAGACACCACUGUUAGCACCUGAAACAAACAUCCAGGUAAUCUAAAUAUUGUGUAAUCAUGUGGAAGCUGAGGACCACGUCUCCUGGGUUUCGUUUGGACCUGAACAACUUCGACUGUGCAGAAGCGGAGACAAGUCGUCGUCAUGCAGCCCGAGAGCCAGCACCAUAGGAAGCCCGACCCCCAGGAUCAGAGUGAGGCUCUCCAGGAGCCCCAGAUAUCGCUCAUGAUGUGCCUCAGCUCCAGAGUAUUGAUGGAGGUCAGAGGGGGGUCGACUCGUCCUGCUAUUGCUGAUCUCGGGAAGAACAUGCACUGUGGCCACAUAGAGGAAAGUCCCGGCCGAGAAGAGCAUUCCCACUCCUGUCGCACUGAGCUGAUUCUGAGAGGAGCUGCCAGACUGCGGACACAAAACACCUCACAUCAAAUAACACUGAAGUUCAACUGUACGAUACUACACGGAAUGACUGUUGGUGCUUUCUUACUGCAUGUAAUAUGAAGUAAGUGGUGAUGGCAAGAACGGGUGCUGCAGCUGAAAAGGCCAGCAAAUGUCCCUGGAUGUGUUUCUUUUCAAGGCCUGCAUGCAUCAGGAAGGACACCAAACCGAAAGCAGCAGGAGCCUAGGAUAUAAAUAAGAUCAGGAGUUAGUAUUUUUCUAUUGAGUCUGUUGAUUUGGAUAAUAUGUUUCUCACUGACAUGUUAUCUCAGGAAACUCACCUUGUGUAGGAUCACAGCUAGGAAUACUAUUACUUGCACUGUCACUUGCCCCGUGGACACAGCUGCACCCACAGCAAAUCCAUCAGCUUUAAGCAAACAAAAAACAUGUUAAUGUUCAUACAAAUAUACCCAGGCAUUAUAUCAAACUGAUGAAUACGUCUGUUUUCUGCAUCCCAUUUUUCCCACAUGGGACAAAAAAGAGGUCAUAUUAGGUAAAUGAUUCAACAUCACAUGCUGAGUCACAUGAGGAAAUGAACGUCUCCAGUAGUCUGCCACCAGGAAUUCCUUGAAACAUUUGAUGUACCUUAGGCAAACACAAGGCAACAGAAGUGGUGAAGGUUUGGCUGUGUACCUGCAGCAUGAAUCACCAGCCCCAAAGUGGCUGUGAUGCCGACACUGUUAGCCAAAAGAGACACUCGCCCUGAAAUGAGAAAUUGCACAGAGUUCACAUUCUGCAGAUUUUUACCUUAUUGUAUUUCAUUAUUAUAAAUAAUGUAUGCCUACUUUUUUAUUUAAUACAUAAGUCUAUUAUUUUGAUGACCUCUGCACUAUACUUCAGCUGUUGCGAUACCGUACAUUUCCCAGUUGCGAGAAAAAUAAAGGAAUGCUGAUUCUGAAUAAAAAUGCCAACUUGCCACGCAUGGAGAAGUAACUUCCAAUCUGAUCCACCACAAACAUGAAGGUGAACCCAAAGGUUAGAGCCACCCCAAUGAGAAAUCGAGGUGGACCAUCUGUGGUAGUUACAUUUUUAUUUUUCCCACUGGCAUUUAGAUGGGAUGGCACAUCAGAGGAGGAGGAUGCUGCAGAGAGAGGAUGAAGUACAGGAAUAGCUUUUGAUCAAAUCCACAUGAAAGAACAACAAGGCAGAGCAGCAUACACUUAGAGCGCUAAGCCUCCUUUCAUCACCAUAUGCCUCAUCACUCAUCUCAAGCGGUCGCAAUCAAACACAGGUGUACAUUUUGUGGUUGAGGACAGUGCCGAUUAUGGGUAAUCAGUUGGCAAGACAACCAAGGACAUGGGAGUUAAAGAGGGUAAAUAAUUAGAUGGCUCUAAAUCAUCAAUCUAAGUGUUUCCUCCCCCAUCCAUAACACAAUGGUAAUUUAUUGAGUGAUUGGUCAAAUUCAAUACAUGUACAAGCCACUUUUGACAGGUGGAAGAACUGAUUGGAUUUGGGUUGUAUGAGAUGUUCUGCUCACCUCUCCAUGACUCCUCCAGUAAACCCACUCCCUCAGGGAUGGUGAUUGCCAGCGCUGUUCCACACAGCAGUCCUGCCCCCAGGAUGGAGACAAACUGCAGGCUUUUCUGAGGAGAGACAUGUGAUAUUCAGCUGAGCAGUGAUCCCUCCCCACAGGGAUUUAUAUGAAAGGCUGGAAAUAUGUCUAAGUUUCCCAUGACAUUGAGCAAUGCUUCUCAUUCAAUAGCAUAAAUCAUUAUUAUCUUGGGGUGUAAAACAUAGAAACAGUGAUGCUCGCAAAUAAAAUAAAGACUGCAGUUUAAAUGUCUAUAAAGUUUGAUUCAGGAAUUGUGUCAUCUUGACUGAAUCACUUGAGGAUCGUUUAAAUCUCCCAGCUGAUGAUACUCUUAGAAAACAAACACUUACCUCGUUAAGCCUGAACAACAGUGGGAUGAAUCCAAGUACAAAAGUUCCUACAAACAUCGCAGCCGAUAUAAAAGUGAUAGUCAACCCUCCGUCCAUGACGAUUGACAGUUAUUCUUCACACAGAGGUGAAUCAGUGUGCAGAUGUGCUACAUCAUAGAGUUAUAUCCUGCUGGAAGCUGGCAGUUCUUAUUGUGCCUCUUGAUUUCACUUGUUGGAUUACAAAAGAUGUAAGUGCCAUACUGCCUUUCCACGUCGCACGACAGCAGCACUUCCCUCUCAAGCAGCACCCAGUGUGGAUACUGAGAACUGCAGUCCCGCCCCCAUCAAGGUCCUCCAAUCACCUACCGCCAUUACUAGAUUACCAAUCAAAAUCAAUCUUUAGCUACAUAAAUGUUAUUGCCUGAGCCAACAUUAAAUGUAGUUUUUCUAGUCAGUGUUAGCGCUCACAGCUUAAAUAGUGGUGGCAUGAAGACAGACCAAGAAAUGUGUUCAUUCUCAAAAGCAUUUUGUGAGCUUUAA